rnacentral:rRNA from 1 species
GGUUGACCUCGAAUCAGGUAGGAAUACCCGCUGAACUUAAGCAUAUCA